AUUGAACGCUGGCGGCAUGCUUUACACAUGCAAGUCGAACGAGUGGCGAACGGGUGAGUAAUAUAUCGGAACGUACCGAGUAAUGGGGGAUAACCAAUCGAAAGAUUGGCUAAUACCGCAUAUUAUUCGAGCGGCCGAUAACUGAUUAGUAAGUGGGUGGGGUAAAGGCCUACAAAGGCGCCGUUCAGUAGCGGGUCGGAGAGGACGCUCUGCCACACUGGAACUGCGACACGGCCCAGACUCCUACGGGAGGCAGCAGUGGGGAAUUUUGGACAAUGGGGGCAAGCCUGAUGCAGCCAUGCCGGGUGUAUGAAGAAGGCCUUCGGGUUGGAAAGUACUUUUGUUAGGGAAGCGGUACCUAAAGAAUAAGCACCGGCUAACUACGUGCCAGCAGCCGCGGUAAUUC
rnacentral:rRNA from 1 species